UACGGGGGGGGCAAGCGUUGUUCGGAAUUACUGGGCGUAAAGGGCUCGUAGGCGGCCAACUAAGUCAGACGUGAAAUCCCUCGGCUUAACCGGGGAACUGCGUCUGAUACUGGAUGGCUUGAGGUUGGGAGAGGGAUGCGGAAUUCCAGGUGUAGCGGUGAAAUGCGUAGAUAUCUGGAGGAACACCCGUGGCGAAGGCGGCUCUCUGGGACGGUACUGACGCUGAGACGCGAAAGCGUGGGGAGCGAACAGG
rnacentral:rRNA from 1 species